GUUGUGUGUGGAUAAGAAAUGCAGAGUGGUACCACCAAUUACCUAAGCCACCAUUCCCCUAACAGACAAAAGGCUCAUGGGGACAGUUCCUGCAGUUUACAGCAAAUUGUAGCCCUACAAACUUCAGAUACUGCCAAGCUUGGGUGCACUGGGCCGGUUAUCCAGCCGUGUGGAAUCAACAUCUCCAGCUGAACUUGGGCCGGGAAUUAUAUAAGAAUCCUUAGCAGCAUGAGUGCCAGCCAGUCAUUGCUGUUCUUUGCAUUGCUGAGGAGGACAGUCCUGCCAAUAUAACAGUUUGUUCAAUAACAGGAGACAAACAGAAACACAGAGGUGCUAUACAUUCCGAUGGAAAAUACAACAAAAGCAUCUCCCAUCAUUUUGGCGUGGCUCAGAUCAAGAGGAGAAUUUUAAGAAAGGUGAUGGUUGGGCACACACAAGAAGACAGAGAUCACAUGUGUCCAGGCAUAUGAGUAGACAGGAGUUUCACACUCUGCCAAACUUACUUCAUCAGAGGAUCAGAAAGCUUCUCAAGAUCCCGCACUGCACACUUAGAUAUAGUCUUUGACUACAACAAGGGGAUGAAAGUACAGAGAGGUCCAAUUGAAAUCAAUUCGGUGCUGCGUCAUUUCUUCAUUCUGGAAGUCGAUGGACAUGAUUUAUCAUGGCAUCAGGUGUGCAGUUUGUCGACUAUCAGCAGUCUUUUCACCAGUUGUGCAACUUGAGCUGGUAGCUUUAUUGCUUGAAGCCACAGCAUAAGAGGGGGAAGGUGCAGGCUCAUCAAAAAGUCUCAAAAGUUGAAACUAGGAAAAGAAGUUUGUCAAGAGUGUGAAUAUUUGCUUUGAAAACCAUCGUUACGAUGAUUUGGUGUCCUUUGAAACUUGAUACAUACUAUGUGUAUGUUGAAUGAAUUGAGAUGCUUAAAUAAAGAACCGCUAUUCAAAUAUCAGGAAACUGCAUUGUUCAUACUAA